rnacentral:rRNA from 1 species
AUUGAACGCUGGCGGCAGGCCUAACACAUGCAAGUCGAGCGGCAGCGGGAAAGUAGCUUGCUACUUUUGCCGGCGAGCGGCGGACGGGUGAGUAAUGCCUGGGAAAUUGCCCAGUCGAGGGGGAUAACAGUUGGAAACGACUGCUAAUACCGCAUACGCCCUACGGGGGAAAGCAGGGGACCUUCGGGCCUUGCGCGAUUGGAUAUGCCCAGGUGGGAUUAGCUAGUUGGUGAGGUAAUGGCUCACCAAGGCGACGAUCCCUAGCUGGUCUGAGAGGAUGAUUAGCCACACUGGAACUGAGACACGGUCCGGACUCCUACGGGAGGCAGCAGUGGGGAAUAUUGCACAAUGGGGGAAACCCUGAUGCAGCCAUGCCGCGUGUGUGAAGAAGGCCUUCGGGUUGUAAAGCACUUUCAGCGAGGAGGAAAGGUCAGUAGCUAAUAUCUGCUGGCUGUGACGUUACUCGCAGAAGAAGCACCGGCUAACUCCGUGCCAGCAGCCGCAGUAAAAC